rnacentral:rRNA from 1 species
UACGUAGGGGGCGAGCGUUGUCCGGAAUCAUUGGGCGUAAAGGGCGCGUAGGCGGCCUUCUAAGUCGAACGUGAAAUCCCCGGGCUCAACCCGGGAACUGCGUCCGAUACUGGAAGGCUUGAAUCCGGGAGAGGGAUGUGGAAUUCCAGGUGUAGCGGUGAAAUGCGUAGAUAUCUGGAGGAACACCGGUGGCGAAGGCGACAUCCUGGACCGGUAUUGACGCUGAGGCGCGAAAGCCAGGGGAGCAAACGGG